rnacentral:rRNA from 1 species
CUUUUUUUGUCAGGAACCAAAGGCGUCGAGUAGUCCCCCGAUGAGAGUACCUGAAGAAAAAGCAUCGGCUAACUCCGUGCCAGCAGCCGCGGUAAUACGGAGGAUGCGAGCGUUAUCCGGAUUUAUUGGGUUUAAAGGGUGCGCAGGCGGCUUGUUAAGUCAGCGGUAAAAGCCCGGGGCUCAACCCCGUCGAGCCGUUGAAACUGGCGGUCUGGAGUUGGAGAGAAGUACGCGGAAUGCGCGGUGUAGCGGUGAAAUGCUUAGAUAUCGCGCAGAACCCCGAUUGCGAAGGCAGCGUACCGGCUUCACACUGACGCUGAGGCACGAAAGCGUGGGUAUCGAACAGGAUUAGAUACCCUGGUAGUCCACGCAGUAAACGAUGAAUGCUAGGUGUCCGGGCAGAGAUAUCCCUGGGGGGCGCAGCGAAAGCGAUAAGCAUUCCACCUGGGGAGUACGCCGGCAACGGUGAAACUCAAAGGAAUUGACGGGGGCCCGCACAAGCGGAGGAACAUGUGGUUUAAUUCGAUGAUACGCGAGGAACCUUACCCGGGCUCAAACGGGAGAGGGCGGGGGUAGAGACGCCCCUCUCUCUCGGGACGUCUUCCGAGGUGCUGCAUGGUUGUCGUCAGCUCGUGCCGUGAGGUGUCGGCUUAAGUGCCAUAACGAGCGCAACCCCCGCGUGCAGUUGCCAGCAGGAAAGGCUGGGGACUCUGCAGGGACUGCCGGCGCAAGCCGCGAGGAAGGCGGGGAUGACGUCAAAUCAGCACGGCCCUUACGUCCGGGGCGACACACGUGUUACAAUGGGGGGUACAGCGGGAAGCCAGGCGGCGACGCCGAGCGGAACCCGAAAGCCCCUCUCAGUUCGGAUCGGAGUCUGCAACCCGACUCCGUGAAGCUGGAUUCGCUAGUAAUCGCGCAUCAGCCAUGGCGCGGUGAAUACGUUCCCGGGCCUUGCACUCACCGCCCGUCAAG